GCCCACUGUGAGCCUAUCUUUCCUGUUUCUGUGGUAGAGGCCAUUUUCUGUUAGCUUCUCAGGUUUUAUACUGUAGUCCAAUUUUCGAGAAGCUGAGUAAAUCUAAUUUGUCACUGCAGCUGCAAAUUUAAGGGCAAUAUGCCUCUUGUUGUUCAUGCAGUCAGACUAGCCUAGCAGUUGUUUAACCAAUUUAGGUCUAGAUAAACUGGCAAGACAUUGAUAUAAACUUAUAGGAAGAAAAAUUUCCAAUUGUUGAACUUUUAGUUGUAAAGUACAAUUCUCUCCUUCACGAGUUUGGUGUGAGGCUGCAUUGAAGGAGUACUGUGUUCUAUUGGGAAGUUAUUUUUCCAUUUCCGAAGCAGCCACCCAUAUUUGUAGCUUGAUGCUGUUACUGGAAAGAUACAUUCAACACUGGAGCAGCUGAAUGGGUUCUUAGUUGAGUCAUGCCCAUUGGAACCUGUGAACUAAUCUGUUGCUGCUGCUUUUGUCAUUAGUCACUUCUGAAUAUUGUCAGGUACUCGGAAUUGCUACCGUCGAUUGUUGAUGGGAAUGAACCUGUUUGACUCAGGUGUUGCUAUGAAGAUGCAGUGUUUGAAAAGCUCAACGGGUACAAAACCCAUUCAGUUUCAACCGGUGUCCAUUUGUUGCUUGGAGGUUUAUCUACAGAAGGUGACGCGAAAAAACUGGGAAUCAAGACAACCUUCGUAGAAGAAAACCACAAGCUACUCGGAACAACCCCACCCCCAAGAAAUUAAAAAAAAA